GCAGCGCGGCGUGCCGGCUGCGGCCCGCGCGCUGGUCCUGCCUGGCGCUCAACGUGCGCGAGGCGGUGCUGCGCCGCAAGAUACACAUACAGGUGACAUUCUACUUGAACGGGCGGGAGUGCGACACCGUGUCGUUGCCUUUACAAGGCAUCUUGGUGCGCAAGAUAUCGGCGACGAGCGUGUCGCUGGGGCAGGUGUCGGGGGCAGGGGUGGG